UGGCUCAGAACGAACGCUGGCGGCGUGCUUAACACAUGCAAGUCGAGCGGAAAGGCCCUUCGGGGUACUCGAGCGGCGAACGGGUGAGUAACACGUGAGCAACCUGCCCUCAGCUCUGGGAUAGCUCCCGGAAACGGGAAUUAAUACCGGAUACGACCCUGACUGACAUCGGUCAGGGUGGAAAGGAUUCCGGCUGAGGAUGGACUCGCGGCCUAUCAGCUAGUUGGUGGGGUAACGGCCCACCAAGACGACGACGGGUAGCCGGCCUGAGAGGGCGACCGGCCACAUUUGCACUGAGACACGGACCAGACUCCUACGGGUCGCAGCAGUGG
rnacentral:rRNA from 1 species